rnacentral:tmRNA from 1 species
GGGGGUGACAGGUUUCGACGGGUAUAGCGGGGGGCUGUUGGCGUGCCGGGGUUGUCUGGGUCCUCGUUAACAAACCGGGCAAACACACAAAUGGCGAAAACAACUACGCCAUGGCUGCCUAACCGCAAGGUUAGUUGAUGUGCCCGUCGUGCCUG